rnacentral:misc_RNA from 1 species
CCUUCGGUGGAAAAUAAAGAGAAUUCAGAAAUGAAAGAAAGAUUUAAGCAUGUUGUUGAUGAUCCUUUUUCAGUUGAUUUGGUUGAGGAUGAUGGUCAAGUCGUUGUACCAGAGGCUCCUAUUGAGUUUUCCAUGGAGAGCAAAGAUGGAGUCUUGGAGAAAAAUUCUCAAAUGGGUGACGAUGCUAAGCAAUUUCUUGAAGAAAGGUUGCAACUUAACAAUUUGGAGCAGGGAAAGAAUGAUUUUAUAAAUCAUGUAUCUGAUCUAUGCGGUGCCAGCCAGAUAAAGGAACAGAUUGCUGAAGAAAUUAAUGGUUGUGGUGAUUCCUAUGAGAGUGAGUUGAAUCAAGCUGAUAACAUUUUGCCAGAUAUAGGAGAACUGAAGGUUGAUGCUGUCCUGAUAAAGCAACAGAUGAGUGAAAAAGUCAAGAGUUUUAACAAUACCUUUGUUAAUGUAGUUAACCCUGAUGAUGAGUCCAUUCAGCAACUUGUGUCAGAACCUCAAGAAGUGAAAGUGGAUGUCAUGGGAGUGGAGGCAAAAAAUGCUACAGAUUUCGUGAAGGGUGAUCAGGGCUGUGUCUUCAAUAGAAGUCUUGCUCUUGAUAAAGGCAGUGAGGGUGAGAAACUAGACCGUAAGUGUAAAUCGGGGCCCGAAACUGCUAUGAAAGUUGAAUCUCUUGCACUUGAAGAUGCCAUCAGAGUUGAAUCUGGAGAUAAUGCAUUUGAGAUUAAUGAAAUUCAGACUCUGGAUUUGUUGGGGAAUGGUGAUUUGCCUGAAAUAUCUGGAGAUGAUAAAUUGGGAGAAGCCUCUCAGGGAGAUACGAAUUCCCUUGGUAUUAGAGAUGAAGCAAACCAUGAUUCAGAAAAGAUAGGAGGGCAAAAAGGUUUGCUUUCUGAAGAAGAUAUUGAAGAAUUGAUAUUUGGAGGCUCUGGGAGUGUUGAGAAUAUCAUAGGUGAAUUGCAGAAAAGUUCAGCCUCCUCUCCUUUUCCAGUGGCUGAUGAUUUCCAUGAU